rfam:Gloeophyllum trabeum ATCC 11539 unplaced genomic scaffold GLOTRscaffold_00442, whole genome shotgun sequence.
AAGAGCAUAGUAUAAUUGGUUAGUAUUAUGAUCUUCAAAAUCAUUGGUAGGUGUUCAAAUCACCUUGCUCUUG